AGCGAACGCUGGCGGCAUGCUUAACACAUGCAAGUCGCACGGGCGGGGGCAACUCCGUCAGUGGCGGACGGGUGAGUAACGCGUAGGAAUCUAUCCUUGAAUGGGGGACAACCGUGGGAAACUACGGCUAAUACCGCAUGAUGCCUGAGGGCCAAAGACGAAAGUCGUUUGAGGAGGAGCCUGCGUCUGAUUAGGUAGUUGGUGGGGUAAAGGCCUACCCAAGCCUACGAUCAGUAGCUGGUCUGAGAGGAUGAUCAGCCACAUUGGGACUGAGACACGGCCCAAACUCCUACGGGAGGCAGCAGUGGGGAAUAUUGGACAAUGGGCACAAGCCUGAUCCAGCAAUGCCGCGUGGGUGAAGAAGGUCUUCGGAUUGUAAAGCCCUUUCGGCGGGGACGAUGAUGACGGUACCCGCAGAAUAAGCUCCGGCUAACUUCGUG
rnacentral:rRNA from 1 species